CAACGGUUACAACCCACAAUUUUUCUUUCCUCAUCCACGAUCUUUCUUCCCAUAUGCACAAAUCUAGCAUAAAACUGAUGAGGAAUUGUACUUCAUCCUUCCUUGCUCUCCAUGUCUCUCUUGCAUCAUUUUUCCUCUAUUUCCUCAAUUCUUAGUUGUUGCAGUUGAUAGAGGAAACAAAGCGAAGAUGUCAUUGGAUUAUACCCAUCUUUCUCAACUGAUUCUUUCUAAAAAAGAAUGGAAGAAAAGCUAGAAAGUUGUUGGAUAUUCAACUUAUAAUUUCCAGGUGUGGUUUCUGAUAUUAGGAACAUUCAAUACGGAAGAAGAUUUGAGGAGAAACAGAGGAGAAUGAAACAAAAAAGUACAAAGGAAGCAGAAGCACCCGCAAGGUGAUUCAGUUAAAUAUGGAACUCUAGAGUUUCUUCACCAAAAGUAAGUCUCAACAUCUAUUUACCAUUUAAAAACUAUUCUUGGAUAUUGCUAUACAUUUUGGUAUGUGCUUAAUACUUUUAAGUCAUUAUUACAUCCUGUGAUCAUGUUGUGGUGGAUACAUAUAUAGUCUAUGCUCUGCAAGUAUAUGUGUUGCUAGGAUUCAUCUUCACUGGAGCCGGAAUUGAAAUAUACCAUAAGAAGGUGAUGUCUAACUUCAAAAAAGUGUUUGGAGUUGCCGUUGGAGACUCUUUGGUCUCUGAAUACAACAAAGACUAUCACGACGUCACUGAAGCCACUCCCAACAUCUUUGAGCAGUGUGAACCAUCUAACAACCCACUAGAAAGCUACCAAACCGGGUCUGAAACGGUCACUCUAACAAAACCGAGAGUCCAAAACUUUAUAUGCGGUGUUCCUGGUCCCUGCGACAUAGGACGGAAGCUAGUCUUACCGACCUCGUUGGAUCGCGGUGCAGCUCGCUUUCCUAGACCGGUCGGAUCACCAAACAGUACAAUAAAUAAUUUAUUUUUCAUCAGCAAAAUUUUGUGCUAAUAUGAUUGUAUUAUAAAAAACAAUGUUUGCUUGCUUGAUAGACUGAUAGUAAGCAAUAUAUAUUCGUAAUUGUUUUUUUUUUCUCA